CGGCAGCGGGCGCCCGGCACGCAACUGGCUGGCAUUCGGUGUGCAGGGCCUGGCGCCAUACUGGUUCGAAGUCGAUGCCACUGC
rnacentral:tRNA from 1 species